rnacentral:tRNA from 1 species
GGCGGCAUUGCCAAGCGGUAAGGCUAAGGUCUGCAAAACCUUCACACCCUAGUUCGAAUCUAGGUGUCGCCUCCA